UCUCACGACUCUGAGAGGUGAUAGGGAUUCCGUAAGGAUACAAACUGGUCUAGUUGUCUGCCAAGAAAAGAACCUCGAGUGGACGCGUAAUGGUGUCCGUACCGCAAACCGACACAGGUAGGCGAGGAGAGAAUCCUAAGGCGCUCGAGAGAACUCUCGCUAAGGAACUCGGCAAAAUGACCCCGUAACUUCGGGAGAAGGGGUGCUUUUAGUAGGAGAAGUAUCUUGCAUGCGGAUCCGAAAGAAGCCGCAGUGAAGUGGUCCGUGCGACUGUUUACUAAAAACACAGGUCUCUGCAAAAUCGUAAGAUGAUGUAUAGGGACUGACGCCUGCCCGGUGCCAUAUGGUUAAGGGGAAGAGUCAAGGGUUCGCCCGGCAGCUCUGAACCGAAGCUUCAGGUAAACGGCGGCGGUAACUAUAACCGUCCUAAGGUAGCGAAAUUCCUCGUCGGGUAAAAUCCGACCUGCACGAAUGGCGUAACGACAUGGACACUGUCUCGGCGAGAGACUCGGCGAAAUUGUAAUACCGGUGAAGAUGCCGGUUACCCGUAACAGGACGGAAAGACCCCGUGAACCUUUACUACAGCCUGAUAUUGGGUUUUAAUGUAGCUUAUGUAGGAUAGGUGGGAGACUGUGAAACUGGGGCGCCAGCUUCAGUGGAGUCGAUCUUGAAAUACCACUUUUGUUGCAUUGAGAUUCUAACUCUGGUUCGUUAUCCGAAUCGAAGACAGUGUCAGGUGGGUAGUUUGACUGGGGCGGUCGCCUCCCAAAAUGUAACGGAGGCGCCCUAAGGUUCCCUCAGCGCGAUUGGAAACCGUGCGUAGAGUGUAAAGGCAGAAGGGAGCUUGACUGCGAGACAGACAUGUCGAGCAGGUGCGAAAGCAGGGCUUAGUGAUCUUGCGGUUCUGUGUGGAAAGGCCGUGACUCAACGGAUAAAAGGUACUCCGGGGAUAACAGGCUGGUCGCGCCCAAGCGUUCACAGCGACGGCGCGGUUCGGCACCUCGAUGUCGGCUCAUCACAUCCUGGGGCUGCAGCAGGUCCCAAGGGUUGGGCUGUUCGCCCAUUAAAGUGGUACGUGAGCUGGGUUUAGAACGUCGCAAGACAGUUCGGUCCCUAUCCGUUACGGGCGUAGGAUAUUUGAGAGGACCUGCCGCUAGUAUGAGAAGACCGUGGUGGACGAACCUCUAGUGUACCAGUUGUCGCGCCAGCGGCACCGCUGGGUAGCUAUGUUCGGAAGAGAUAAACGCUGAAAGCAUCUAAGCGUGAAGCUCGCCUCGAGAUUAGAUAUGCUGCAGAGUUAAUCUGGUAAGGCUCCUUUGAGACUAAAAGGUUGAUAGGCCAGAGGUGUAAGCAGUGUGAACUGUUUAGCUGACUGGUACUAAUAAGCCGAGGGCUUGAUAAC
rnacentral:rRNA from 1 species